rnacentral:rRNA from 1 species
AUGGAAACUGAGACUACAAAAGAACAUAAUAAGAAAGGAAAGAAAGGGAGGAACGAGCCAAGCAAAAGAGGCACAACAAAGAAGGCCGUGGCACCCUUAACCGACUUGUCUGGUGAAGACAUAGCAGUGCCCAUCCACAAGAGCGAGGACAAGAAGUUUACCGUGGAAGAAGCACAAAUUGAGAAGAAAAGCAUCUCUCAAAAUAGUGCCAUUAAAACUGAGACUACAAAAGGACACCAUGAAGGAAAGAAAGAGAGAAACGGGCCAAGCAAAAGAGGUGCGGUGAAGAUGGCCAUGGCACCCUUAACCGAGUUGUCUGGUGAGAACGAGGACAAGUUUGCCGUGGAAGAAGUGCAAGUUGAGAAGAACAGCAGUGGACCAGAGCCUGCUGCAAAGAAGCCAAGGAAGACUACCAUCAGGAAGAGGGCGUCUGGUCAGAGCAAGUCCAGUGCUCCUUCUCCUGAGAAGAAGGUGCGAAAGAAGAGUGGCUCGGUUGCGCAGAGAGUUGCGAGCGCUUCAACCGCAACAGAAGACGCUGAGGCUCCUCUUCCCUCCGGCAGCUCUGCUCAGCCUGUAGCACCGAGAAGGUCAGCAAGGCACGGGAAGGCGUAA